rnacentral:lncRNA from 1 species
UGAAGGAGAGCUGAUGCAACUCUCCCCAGCAUUCUUAAUGAAGAAUGCUUCCAUAACCUCACGCGCCGCAUCAUCCCUGUGCCUAAAAAUAACAGUAGUUUUAUGAAAAAGAGGCGUGCAUUUGCAACCUUUACACUCAGACCUUUCUUG